GGGACACGUCCACGCUUCUAAAUGUUCUUUUUUUUCUGCUUGUUGGUUGUUAUGCAGGUAACAAGACAGGAAAGGAGUCACACAAAUAUGUGAGUUACAACAGGUUGUACAGAUAAGGGCUAAGCAUGCAAUUAAAAUGUGUAAAUCAUUAAUAAUUUCCAUGGCAUUAUUUCUUUGUAUUCAGUUUUCGAAGUGCUAAUUGGACAUUUUAAAGUAUGCCAAUGAAAUAGUUUUCAUUUAUAUGCAAUUAUAUUCUUUUAUCAAAUCAACAUAUUAAUAUCAAUAUAUUUUUUAAAUGUGGACAUAUAAUUUGCUUUUGGGGAACGUGGUGAUGUAAUAAACAAUGCAAUUGUAAUGACUGUGUUCUCUCACUAUACAGUCACACUAUUGUAGGGGAGUAGGAAAUUUUAAAUGCAGAGCACUGGAAAUUAAUAAUUAAAAUGAACAAAUAAAGGGUCAUUGUUACCAUCACUUCAGGUUCCUGGAGACUGAACUUAAACCGAAAAAGUCUUCAACCUUAAAUGUAACGACUUGAAUUGCGAGAAUCUGCUUUCUGGCCGUGAUUAAAAGACGAUGUCUUUUCAUGAAACACAAAUGUGCCACCAUGACAUACUGUGUCGAAAUGUUCUUUUGUGGAGAACUGAAAGUAAAAUAUACUAUGACCUUUGAUUUGAACCAGGUAAUACAGGUGAAUACAACGACUGGAGCCAUAGAAAAGAAAACAUUUGCCAUGUGUGUUAUCUAUUUUUGAUAAGAGCAUUUAUCAAAUACUGUUAACUUCAUUUCCUCUAAGAACUUAAGGUGUAGGGACAGGAGCACCAGGGAGUGGUGGAAAAGGUUGAUUCAUCACAGGAUGAUACUCAGGGAAAUGUGAUGUAGCUCACCAUGCAAAUAUUUGACUAUAGAGGGAGGGGUCUGAUAGUCACAAAGUCCCCGGGAAUGUUCAGUGCAGACAAAGUCCACUAAUGAACGAGAUGAACAUGAAGAGGGAGUUGAAGCAGAAGAAAACUGGCCCUCGAGCUUCUCCCCAAGAUUCUGUACACCCAAAUUUAAGAUCGGGCCUUCAAGUUGCUCUAUUUAUCCCUCCAUAAUUUCCAUAUCUAUAUUGACAGUUUCUCCUUUCACUUCUUCAUUAGCAGUGAGGUGGGGAGUGAGCUGUGCUGAGCUUUUCUCGGCAGCGGGUGCUUGAACCUGGUCAGCUCAAACUAGAGGCUCCGAAGGAUGAGGGACAGCAUGGGACUCUGAAGACCUGAGGAAUAACAACAUUAGCUUCUGUGGGCCCACUUGGGACAUGUUCGAUAGUCUGCCAGAUAACUGGGACUCUCUGAGAACGUACUGGAUGUCUCUAUGAUUGUGCUCCAUUCAUUGAAUUAAUCUUAUCCUGCUCGAAGGACCAUGAACAAUAUUUAAGGACUUCAACAAUCUGGUGUAGGGACUUCAUUAACUCAACGGGUUGUCGAUUAGAACAGAGCAGCACAUGCAGACAGGUCCCUUUAAAUCAUUUAUUGUAAGGUGGGUUUUAGCCACUAGUUUGUAUGUCAUACACUCAGCAAACAAUUUACAGGAAAAGGUGAGGCUUCUUCACAUGGUUCUUUGUUCUCCAUGAAAAGAACACCAUGUACAGGUUUAAAGACCCCAUCCUUUCAGGCAGAGAGAGAAGCUUGUGGGAAUGGUUUAGGAUAUUUAACAAUUUUGAGAUUUACAUGAAGUAAAGAGAAACCAAAACACAGUCACUGUGAUGCUGUUGAGAGAAAGAACAAAAGCAUCAUUUGAAUAUCUAGUCAACUUAACGAGCUAGACAUAUGGCACAUGUAACAAAAGGAAGGAGCGCACUGCUGAGAGAACACUUCGACUGCUCAGAAAGUAGCUUUCAAGAUUGCCAUGGAUAUGUAAGUUUGUUUUCGUUUUUCUUUACUAAAUGUAAGUGAUUUGUAAAGAAAGAAAGAGCAAGAAAAGGAUUCGUCUCCACAUUACGUCGUCUGCUCAGGUUAACUUCUAAAUGAUGAGCACUGUGAAAAUAACUGAGACAAAGGAGCGAUUUUGAUUAAUUUCUGACACCCAUGGAAGCACAAACAACCACUGCCAUCAAAUAAUCUAGUUAACACACUUUUUGAACAUAUUCCUUCUUUAUUUUAGAAACGGGAUUACGGUCACUCCUACUCCAUCUGGGAGUAAGGUGUCUGUGGACUCUGUGAAGAUAUCAACCCCUGUAUCUCUGGCUGGAGUUGUGGCAACUGCAACCGCAGCAGUUGCAGUAUUUGCAAUUUCUGGUAACAAGACAACCAGUUCCGUGGGAAAGAAUUAUAACUGAGUCACAGCAGGCUGUAUAAAUAAGGCCUAAAUGUGCAAUUAAAGGGUGUAAAUCUGUGUUAGGGGUAAAUGUAUACUAAAUAAUUUCCAUUGCAUUUUUAUUAAGAUAAAUUUUAUUAUUAGAGGUGAUAAUCAAAGGUGAAGGUGAAAGUUUUUGUUUUGUUACUGCACAACCCACUGAACUAGGUGUGACCUAGACAGGUUACUUCUGUACCAACAGAGCAUGACUACCAACAACAAUCCUGUCCAACUGUGAGUACUGUCAUUUUAGUAUUAACGUUCAUAACCUGUUCAUAAAUAUUACAGUACUGCUCCAGAAGCUAGGUAGCAUGUUCGAAGUAGACAUUAUGACGUUACCGCACCUUGCCUACUAAUUAUUUUCAUAGAUGCUGGUAUAAAAACCCCUCAGUGUAUUCUUGAAUAGUAACAAUACUAAUAUUAAUAAUUCUCCCUGUUUAUCCAGAGAUAUCAUCCAUCAAAACUGAAACUAAGCCGACGUGUCAGUUAGAAGACUUUGGGAUACAGCUGACUGUACGUCUGUGAGGAGGAAGCAGAAACCAGCUGAAGACAAUAAGAAAAUAAAUUCCGAAUGCAUAAAGAUGAUUUAACUGGACUUGGCCAAACUUGUACUUUAAUCAAAUUUUUUAUUUUUUUUUAUAAAUGUGGGCUAACGUAUUUAAUUUGCUUUUGGGAAAGAUGCUGAUUUAAUAAAUAAAGGGAUUAUAACAACUGUGUUCUCUCACUUUACUGUCAAAUUAUUGUAGGAGUAGAACACUUUAAAUGCAGACCACUGGAAAUGCUUACUGGAUUAAAAAUAAAGAGACAUUAAUACCAUCACUGGUGACUUCAGUUGUGAUUUCCGGUUGUUUCCUGGAGACCUAAAAUAUCUUCAACCUGAACUGUGAGAAUCUGCUUUCUAGCUCUACUAGAAAGAUGAGUCCCUAUUCACACAGCAGUGAAUGUUCCCAUGACGUACUGUGUGGAAAUAUUCUUUGAUGGAAAACUGAAAGUAAAAGAUACUUAAUGACC